rnacentral:lncRNA from 1 species
UUUCAGCUUCAUUAACAGCUAAUCAUGGCACAAUGGAUUACUCAACCAGGGUUUGAAAUAUGCUUUCAAGGUGGCUAGACUAACUGGAAUGAUCAUAUAAGGGGACUUCAGCAGGGUAUCAUACACACACAGCUAUUAUGUCUUUUGUGGGAACAUGCAUUUGCCUACGAACUGUCUGUGCAUGUUUUUGGCAGGUCCCCCUUCUUACUCUCCAUUCCCUUCCCUUUCCCAGCUUCUGCCAGACCUGCCUUCAGAUUCCUCAGUCAUGAAGCCUCCCUGAGAGGAACAGAUCCAGGAGGGCACAAAACUAACCACCUACCUCUAAUCUUCCUACUCAAGCAGUUGGACCUGGGCUGGUGUGUUACGAAACUCACCAUUACGCUAGAUCCUUUCCCAGCCUGGCAGGCACACCCACACAGCCACCAUCGAGUAUUCCCUAGGGUUAGAACAGUCCAGGGCUUUGUGAAUUGGUACUCUCUUCAUAUCUCAUAUUUCAACAUAACUUCCAAUGAGAAUCAUACAGUUAGUUUUGGUUUGUAAAAGUCUACGAGAUCAACAACAAACAAAAACUUGGCCACUAAUUUCAACCUGCAAUCAAACAGCGGUUCAUUCAUUUAAGU